rnacentral:SRP_RNA from 1 species
GCUGGGCAUGGUGGUGUGUGCCUGUAAUCCCAGCUUCUCAGGAGGCUGAGGCAGGAGAAUCACUUGAACCCAGGAGGUGGAGGUUGCAGUGAGCUGAGAUCGUGCCACUGCCCUCCAGCCUGGGUGACAGAGUGAGACUCUGUCUUUA